ensembl:misc_RNA predicted gene, 26353
GGAUGUGAGGGUAAUCUGCUUGUGACAUCUGUAACCCCACUGAUCACUACGGCUGACUGGGCUGAUAUGGCUAGCUAGGCAGGUGUUCCCUUCCUUCUUCACUGCUCAAGAAGCAACCUUCCCAAGCUGCACUGAGGAGAACCUCCACGAAUGGAGGACUCUCUUUAGCCAAGGGUUUAACUGUGGUUGUGUCUCUAUGUCAUAGCCUCAAAAGAAGUUCUCAGCCAUGUACGGUUGUGGUGCAUGCCUUUAAUN